AAAUUGAAGAGUUUGAUCAUGGCUCAGAUUGAACGCUGGCGGCAGGCCUAACACAUGCAAGUCGAGCGGAAACGAGUUAACUGACCCUUCGGGUGACGUUAACGGCGUCGAGCGGCGGACGGGUGAGUAAUGCCUGGGAAAUUGCCCUGAUGUGGGGGAUAACCAUUGGAAACGAUGGCUAAUACCGCAUAAUGCCUUCGGGCCAAAGAGGGGGACCUUCGGGCCUCUCGCGUCAGGAUAUGCCCAGGUGGGAUUAGCUAGUUGGUGAGGUAAUGGCUCACCAAGGCGACGAUCCCUAGCUGGUCUGAGAGGAUGAUCAGCCACACUGGAACUGAGACACGGUCCAGACUCCUACGGGAGGCAGCAGUGGGGAAUAUUGCACAAUGGGCGCAAGCCUGAUGCAGCCAUGCCGCGUGUGUGAAGAAGGCCUUCGGGUUGUAAAGCACUUUCAGCAGUGAGGAAGGCGGGUACGUUAAUAGCGUGCUCGUUUGACGUUAGCUGCAGAAGAAGCACCGGCUAACUCCGUGCCAGCAGCCGCGGUAAUACGGAGGGUGCGAGCGUUAAUCGGAAUUACUGGGCGUAAAGCGCAUGCAGUGGUUCGUUAAGUCAGAUGUGAAAGCCCGGGGCUCAACCUCGGAACUGCAUUUGAAACUGGCGGACUAGAGUACUGUAGAGGGGGUAGAAUUUCAGUGUAGCGGUGAAUGCGUAGAGAUCUGACGAUACCGGUGGCGAAGCGCCCCUGGAAGAUACUGACACUCAGAUGCGAA
rnacentral:ncRNA from 1 species